rnacentral:rRNA from 1 species
UACGUAGGGGGCUAGCGUUGUCCGGAAUCAUUGGGCGUAAAGCGCGCGUAGGCGGCCAGAUAAGUCCGGUGUGAAAGUCACAGGCUCAACCUGUGAAUGCCGCUGGAAACUGUCUGGCUAGAGUCCGGAAGGGGCGAGUGGAAUUCCUGGUGUAGCGGUGAAAUGCGCAGAUAUCAGGAAGAACACCCGUGGCGAAAGCGGCUCUCUGGAACGGUACUGACGCUGAGACGCGAAAGCGUGGGGAGCGAACAGG